rnacentral:rRNA from 1 species
UCAGGAUGAACGCUGGCGGCGUGCUUAACACAUGCAAGUCGAACGAAGCUCUUACGACGGAUCUCUUCGGAGUGAAGAUGUUGAGACUGAGUGGCGGACGGGUGAGUAACGCGUGGGUAACCUGCCUCAUAGAGGGGGACAACAGUUGGAAACGACUGCUAAUACCGCAUAGUAAGAAAGAACCGCAUGAUUUUUUCUUGAAAGCUUUUGCGCUAUGAGAUGGACCCGCGUCUGAUUAGCUAGUUGGUAAGGUAACGGCUUACCAAGGCAACGAUCAGUAGCCGGCUUGAGAGAGUGAACGGCCACAUUGGGACUGAGACACGGCCCAAACUCCUACGGGAGGCAGCAGUGGGGAAUAUUGCACAAUGGGGGAAACCCUGAUGCAAGCGACGCCGCGUGAGUGAAGAAGUAUUUCGGUAUGUAAAGCUCUAUCAGCAGGAAAGAUAAUGACGGUACCUGACUAAGAAGCCCCGGCUAACUACGUGCCAGCCGCCGC